CAUGCUGCCUGCCGAGGGGAAUGAAGGCUAUGUUAUUGACAUGUGACAGCAGGUGCUCUCAGGUGCCAUGGAUUGAUGCAGGGUGCUCAGCUCUGGACUGAGGUACCCACUUCCAAUUUGUAAAACAGUAUUGAUACAUAGGGCUACACUCAUUACUGUUCAAGCGUUCUAUGUUAAGAGUUGUUUAAUUUCUAAAGAUUUAAAGCAAAAUGCAAAAAAAAAAAAAAAAUGGUGCUAAACUUCACCCCUGAGCACUCAGUGAGACUGGUCAUGCAAGCAUCUACAGUGCCAUGCUCCUCAAGCCUGUUUUUCUUGUAGAAAUGUUGCCCUAUCUUGUCUUUCCCAAUGUAUAGUGUGUGUUUUGUUUUAUUGAGGGUGGGGUAGAAUACUUGCCAUUUAAGAAAAUGACAGAAAGACCCAGAAAGGUGGGGUUGGGGAAUCGGUAAACAAGAAUCCAGCUAGCAAGGCCCAGCAUCACACUGAAGUGGGCUCAGUGGUUUCAGAGUGAAGUCGCCUUACUCCUGCACAUUCCCUCGUGCUCCCAAUGCAGUUCUGCAGUGCAAAUGCUCAAGUUCCUCCUGCCUUGUCAAGGAGACCUGGAAAUCAGCAAGGAAAAUUAUUUGCCCCAAAAGACAUGGGCUCUAUUGGUGUCAGUCCUGACUUGAGCAUAGGCAUUCACAAGUUGAAGUACAGUCUUGGUCACCUCAUGGGAACAUGUGGCAGAUAGCUCUCAGGAAAAAGCAAUUGUGGAUUGUCCACUUGGGGGCUUUGCAUAGGGAGGUCAAGCUCUGAAUUAGAACUGAGCUGCCUUCCAUACGUUGACCAAAGCAGUGAUAAGGGUGGCCAGUUAGUGGUAGUGGAAAGGGACCGUUUCCUGCCCUGGGUUUCCUUUAGCUAUAGGCUGCAAGGUCCCCACUGCUCUCAGAGAGCCAGCUAAACUGCUGGCUUGGUUUGGAAUUUGUUUCAUCCCUAGCUGUGAGUGCCUUUUGGUCUGGAAAGUUGGCUUGUCUCAUCAUACCCACAGCUAGGACAUAUACUCUGUAAUUAUGAAUUGUCCUUGUUUUCCUGAGCUAAAAGCGAAUGUCUUUGAUCAUUAGAGUUUGUUAGUGUUGGGUUGUUUCCACUGUGAGGUUCUUAAAAUGUUUUUGCUUCCUAAUGUUAAAAUAACUCAUGUUAGAAACCCUGUACACAUGAAAAAGGGUUUGUAGUUGAGACAUUACGUAUAUUUUACUGUUUAUAAUAAAUCAUCUAUACAAAAGUCUUGGGUGUUAAUUUUAAUAUUUUGAGCAAAAUCUGUUUUCCAUGCUAUGUUAACAUCUACAAUUUCACUAAUAGUGUUACUUUCCAUUGAUUUCUGAAGCCUAGAAAACUGUUUUUGUGUGUUUUUUUUGUUUUGUUUUGUUUUGUUUGUUUCCCCGAAGAGAUUGUAUGGCCUUCACUGCAAAGACUUCAGACCAAUUACUUGUAUUACACUUGGUUGCCUCGUGGCUAUAUAACUUCUGAGUACACGUCAUCAAGAGUCCUGAAUGAAGUAUUGUAGAGAAUAAAUCAUAAUGGACAAAAACUGUC
rnacentral:lncRNA from 1 species